ACGGGAGGCAGCAGUAGGUAAUUUUCGGCAAUGGGCGAAAGCCUGACCGAGCAACGCCGCGUGAACGAAGAAGUAUUUCGGUAUGUAAAGUUCUUUUAUUAGGGAAGAAAAGACAGAUUGACUGUACCUAAUGAAUAAGCUCCGGCUAACUACGUGCCAGCAGCCGCGGUAAUACGUAGGGAGCGAGCGUUAUCCGGAAUUAUUGGGCGUAAAGGGUGCGUAGAUGGCACAAAAAGUUUCUUGUAAAAGAUCUGGGCUCAACCCAGUAAAGCAAGAGAUACUGUUGAGCUAGAGUACGGAAGAGGCAAGUGGAACUCCAUGUGUAGCGGUAAAAUGCGUAAAUAUAUGGCAGAACACCAGUGGCGAAGGCGGCUUGCUAGCUCGAUACUGACAUUGAGGCACGAAAGCGUGGGGAGCAAACAGAAUUAGAUACCCUGGUA
rnacentral:rRNA from 1 species